rnacentral:rRNA from 1 species
UACGUAGGGUGCGAGCGUUAAUCGGAUUCACUGGGCGUAAAGGGUGCGCAGGCGGCCGAGUGUGUGAGGCGUGAAAGCCCGGGGCUUAACCCCGGAAUUGCACCUCAAACUACACGGCUAGAGCAUUGGAGAGGGUAGCAGAAUUCAUGGUGUAGCAGUGAAAUGCGUAGAUAUCAUGAGGAAUACCAGAGGCGAAGGCGGCUACCUGGACAAUUGCUGACGCUCAGGCACGAAAGCGUGGGGAGCAAAAGGG